GAAUUCGAUUAGAGUUUGAUCAUGGCUCAGAUUGAGCGCUGGCGGCAUGCCUAACACAUGCAAGUCGAACGCCCCGCAAGGGGAGUGGCAGACGGGUGAGUAACGCGUGGGAAUCUACCCAUCUCUACGGAAUAACUCAGGGAAACUUGUGCUAAUACCGUAUACGCCCUUUGGGGGAAAGAUUUAUCGGAGAUGGAUGAGCCCGCGUUGGAUUAGCUAGUUGGUGGGGUAAAGGCCUACCAAGGCGACGAUCCAUAGCUGGUCUGAGAGGAUGAUCAGCCACACUGGGACUGAGACACGGCCCAGACUCCUACGGGAGGCAGCAGUGGGGAAUAUUGGACAAUGGGCGCAAGCCUGAUCCAGCCAUGCCGCGUGAGUGAUGAAGGCCCUAGGGUUGUAAAGCUCUUUCACCGGUGAAGAUAAUGACGGUAACCGGAGAAGAAGCCCCGGCUAACUUCGUGCCAGCAGCCGCGGUAAUACGAAGGGGGCUAGCGUUGUUCGGAUUUACUGGGCGUAAAGCGCGCGUAGGCGGUUUGUUAAGUCAGAUGUGAAAGCCCAUGGCUCAACCAUGGACGUGCAUUUGAUACUGGCAGACUUGAGUACUGGAGGG
rnacentral:rRNA from 1 species